CUUUGAUGUUCUGUGUUGGUUGUUGCUCAGAGACAGGUUUUGUAAAGGAUUUUGUAGCUGGUCCUGCUAAGACUGUUACCAUGGCCACCAUGACCCUAUCACUGCUUCUCCCCGCUGUUCUGCUCGGAACACUUGACAGGUAAGAUACAUUCCAUUGUAUUCCGAGAUCAUUUUAAGUUUAAAUUAUAACCACAAUUUGUAUUUAUUUACAGAGGAAGUCCUUUGUAUCACUUUUUUGAGGGAGACCUAGGUUGCAUCUGUCAGCCUAUUCCCUACA
ensembl:lncRNA